GUCUACGUAGCUUAACCCCCCCCCAAAGCAAGACACUGAAAAUGCCUAGAUGGAUUCACACAUCCCAUAGACA
rnacentral:tRNA from 2 species